UCAUCAGGUCUGGCUAAAAUGGAAUUGUAAAAUAUCAGACUUCUUUGUUUUUUUUAGACAGGAAUUUUUUUUAUUAAAAUAUUGUUGAUUUACAAUGUUGUGCCAAUUUCUGCUGUACAGCAAAGUGACUCAGAUAUAUGUGUGUGUGUGUAUAUAUAUGAAUUCCUUUCUUUUUAAAAAUUAUAGUUGAUUUACAGUGUUGGGUCACUUUCUGCUGUAUAGCAUAGGGAUCCAGUAAUACAUAUCUACACAUUUUAUCCUCAUAUUAUCCUCCAUCAUGUUCUAUCCCAAGAGAUUGGAUGUAGUUCCCUGUGCUGUACAGUAGGACCUCAUUGCUUAUGCAUUCUAAGUACAAUACUUUGCAUCCACCAACCCCAAACUCCCAGUCCAUCCCACUCCUUCUCCUCUUCUCCCUGGCAACCACAAGUCUGUUCUCUAUGUCUGUGAGUCUGCUUCUGUUCUGUAGAUAGAGUUCUAAUGGACCUUACAAAUCAUUUGGUCCAACCCCUUCCGUUUAUAGGUAAAGGACGUCAAAUGUUAGCAGUUAAACCCUGGGUGAGGACCGGACCCAGGUGCCCUGACUCCUGCUCAUCUUUCGGCCGGACUUCUCCCUUGAGGGGCCCUUCUCAGAUGGCUGGUGCAAAGACCAACAACCUCCACCUGCUCUGUCAGCUGACCAUGGAGACGGAAGGAGGCUGUCUCGCCCUGAUCCCUAGCAUAGCAGUUCAUAAACAGCAGGUGAAGAUAAGGUUUUAUGGCUGGGAGGGACCUUGGACGCAUCGAGGCUCGUGUUCUACCCUCCCAAGGCUGACGUCAUCAUCCUCACUCUCGUUACUCACCACUCUCGUCGUUCAGUGUAACAGGCAGCCCCAAAUAACCUCUGUCUCUGAAGCUGCCAUCAUUUUCUGGCUUUAACGGGGACCUCUGUUUAUUGGCCCUCAAGAAAGGGAAGGGGAGGGUAUGGGGCAGGGAUAAAGAGCAGUUUCAUCUGAAUCUGGGAGGGUCCCAAACCACCAGUGGGGGUGAGGUGAACCCUAAUCCCCUCUGCCUUUCAGGACUGCACACCUAAGUCUUCGAGGCAGACAGCCCAGUGAGGGCGCCAGACAAAGGAGGCUACGGUCUUUUACAUGAUCAGAUGGGCUCCCAUCUCUAAGAAAGGGAGAAGGGGUGGCGGGGGUGGAGUAGGGUGGCAGAGCUAAUUCAAUUUAGAUAUUAUGAUGACCUAGGACAGUUUCUCCAAGUACUUCCAGAGGUAUUUUGUAAUUUUGUAACUGUCCUGCAAUAUUUGUUAUUUUUCCCAAUCCCUAUCUAUUUCUCAAGUUACUCUGCUUAAAAAUUCUUGAGAACAAUCAGGGGCUUGUGUGCUUCUUUUUGCAGCAGGGGGACGGGACUCUGGCUGGUGUGCAUAUUAUUUUGCAACCGGGGCUGAGGGAUGGAGAGAGAAAGCCAGGAGGGAGGGGAGAUGAGGGCAGGCAAGGUGAGCUAGCUGAUCAUGACCUAGGAGGAAGGGAGGAGCCAAGGAGUCCCCAGGAAGAGGAAGUGGGCCCGGGGCCGGGGGAAGAUGGCCGGGCUCAGAUGGCCGGGCUCUUGCCCAACAUGGGCAGCGCAUGGAUUGCAAGAAUGCUGUCUCAAUGUGGAGAGACCCUAAACACCAGCAGGCUCAGGGUUCUGCCUAAAUUGGGGCCAAGAGGCCCUCCUCUGACAGAGUGGCUCUGGAUCCCUCUCAAAAAAAGUCCCAAUUUCUCCCCUGGAGCCUGGUCAGAGGAAAUAAAUCAUCCAAUGAUAUGUUUGCA
rnacentral:lncRNA from 1 species